GUGGGGAAUAUUGGACAAUGGGGGGAACCCUGAUCCAGCCAUGUCGCGUGUGUGAAGAAGGCCUUUUGGUUGUAAAGCACUUUAAGCGAGGAGGAGGCUACCGAGAUUAAUACUCUUGGAUAGUGGACGUUACUCGCAGAAUAAGCACCGGCUAACUCUGUGCCAGCAGCCGCGGUAAUACAGAGGGUGCAAGCGUUAAUCGGAUUUACUGGGCGUAAAGCGCGCGUAGGUGGCCAAUUAAGUCAAAUGUGAAAUCCCCGAGCUUAACUUGGGAAUUGCAUUCGAUACUGGUUGGCUAGAGUAUGGGAGAGGAUGGUAGAAUUCCAGGUGUAGCGGUGAAAUGCGUAGAGAUCUGGAGGAAUACCGAUGGCGAAGGCAGCCAUCUGGCCUAAUACUGACACUGAGGUGCGAAAGCAUGGGGAGCAAACAGGAUUAGAAACCCCUGUAGUCC
rnacentral:rRNA from 1 species